rnacentral:rRNA from 1 species
CCUACGGGUGGCAGCAGUGAGGGAUAUUGGUCAAUGGGGGAAACCCUGAACCAGCAACGCCGCGUGAGGGAAGACGGUUUUCGGAUUGUAAACCUCUGUCCUCUGUGAAGAUAAUGACGGUAGCAGAGGAGGAAGCUCCGGCUAACUACGUGCCAGCAGCCGCGGUAAUACGUAGGGAGCAAGCGUUGUCCGGAUUUACUGGGUGUAAAGGGUGCGUAGGCGGCCUUGCAAGUCAGAAGUGAAAUCCAUGGGCUUAACCCGUGAACUGCUUUUGAAACUGUAGGGCUUGAGUGAAGUAGAGGCAGGCGGAAUUCCCGGUGUAGCGGUGAAAUGCGUAGAGAUCGGGAGGAACACCGAUUGCGAAGGCAGCAUACCGGCGCCCGACUGACGCUGAGGCACGAAAGCGUGGGGAUCGAACAGGAUUAGAUACCCGAGUAGUC